UACGAAGGGGGCUAGCGUUGUUCGGAAUCACUGGGCGUAAAGCGCACGUAGGCGGAUCUUUAAGUCAGGGGUGAAAUCCCGAGGCUCAACCUCGGAACUGCCUUUGAUACUGGGGAUCUCGAGUCCGGGAGAGGUGAGUGGAACUGCGAGUGUAGUGGUGAAAUUCGUAGAUAUUCGCAAGAACACCAGUGGCGAAGGCGGCUCACUGGCCCGGAACUGACGCUGAGGUGCGAAAGCGUGGGGAGCAAACAGG
rnacentral:rRNA from 1 species